rnacentral:rRNA from 1 species
GAUGAACGCUGGCGGCGAGCCUAAUACAUGCAAGUCGAGCGAAUGGAUUAAGAGCUUGCUCUUAUGAAGUUAGCGGCGGACGGGUGAGUAACACGUGGGUAACCUGCCCAUAAGACUGGGAUAACUCCGGGAAACCGGGGCUAAUACCGGAUAACAUUUUGAACCGCAUGGUUCGAAAUGGAAAGGCGGCUUCGGCUGUCAAUUAUGGAUGGACCCGGGUCGCAUUAGCUAGUUGGUGAGGUAACGGCUCACCAAGGCAAAGAUGCGUAGCCGACCUGGGAGGGUGAUCGGCCACACUGGGACUGAGACACGGCCCAGACUCCUACGGGAGGCAGCAGUAGGGAAUCUUCCGCAAUGGACGAAAGUCUGACGGAGCAACGCCGCGUGAGUGAUGAAGGCUUUCGGGUCGUAAAACUCUGUUGUUAGGGAAGAACAAGUGCUAGUUGAAUAAGCUGGCACCUUGACGGUACCUAACCAGAAAGCCACGGCUAACUACGUGCCAGCCGCCGCCGUAA